rnacentral:rRNA from 1 species
UCGGGAAUUUUGGGCAAUGGGCGAAAGCCUGACCCAGCAACGCCGCGUGAGGGAUGAAGUAUUUCGGUAUGUAAACCUCGAAAGAAUGGGAAGAAUAAAUGACGGUACCAUUUAUAAGCUCCGGCUAACUACGUGCCAGCAGCCGCGGUAAUACGUAGGGAGCAAGCGUUGUUCGGAUUUACUGGGCGUAAAGGGCGCGUAGGCGGCGCGGUAAGUCACUUGUGAAAUCUCUGAGCUUAACUCAGAACGGCCGAGUGAUACUGCUGUGCUAGAGUGCGGAAGAGGCAACCGGAAUUCUUGGUGUAGCGGUGAAAUGCGUAGAUAUCAAGAGGAACACCUGAGGCGAAGGCGGGUUGCUGGGCCGACACUGACGCUGAUGCGCGAAAGCCAGGGGAGCAAACG